rnacentral:rRNA from 1 species
GAUGAACGCUGGCGGCGUGCCUAAUACAUGCAAGUCGAGCGAACAGACGAGGAGCUUGCUCCUCUGACGUUAGCGGCGGACGGGUGAGUAACACGUGGAUAACCUACCUAUAAGACUGGGAUAACUUCGGGAAACCGGAGCUAAUACCGGAUAAUAUAUUGAACCGCAUGGUUCAAUAGUGAAAGACGGUUUUGCUGUCACUUAUAGAUGGAUCCGCGCCGCAUUAGCUAGUUGGUAAGGUAACGGCUUACCAAGGCAACGAUGCGUAGCCGACCUGAGAGGGUGAUCGCCCACACUGGAACUGAGACACGGUCCAGACUCCUACGGGAGGCAGCAUUAGGGAAUCUUCCGCAAUGGGCGAAAGCCUGACGGAGCAACGCCGCGUGAGUGAUGAAGGUCUUCGGAUCGUAAAACUCUGUUAUUAGGGAAGAACAAAUGUGUAAGUAACUAUGCACGUCUUGACGGUACCUAAUCAGAAAGCCACGGCUAACUACGUG